ACGAAGCCCUGAUGUCGGGAGGAGAAGAGACUAGCUUCAAUACCAUGUCCUCCAUGGUAGCCAGGGUUUUAUUAUCUCAUUGAAGGGCUAUUUGGCUCACUCCCUGAGACCCGGGUUCCCUGAAGCACACCUCCGACUUGUGCCUCCGUGGGAGUAAGGAUCUGAGAGGACCACCGCUAAGCAGCAGGUUUACGAUGGAUGUUCUAACCAUGGUCAGUAGCUUCUCUUUCCUCUCUGAGCGCAGGGGCACUUGGAUGAGCCCGGUGGUGCUGAGCCAAGCUGUCUCUGGAAUUUCUCAUGCAUUCUAUUUUGUCACUAGAUAUUCCAGAUAUUUUCCCAAAAGACAAGUGACUUUCCCCAGGCUGCUUAGAAACUCAAAUGGUAAUUCUCUCGAGAGAUCCUAGCCUUAGAGCCUCAUGUCAGAAUCAGAUACCUUGAAAUGCCACUGUAAGAGUCACUGAUCUGCAGGAGAGUAACAUUUGCCCCCCCCCCAGCCCCCACCAAGUGGGCAGCCAGAGACCCACAUGGCUUCUAAUGUGCACGUGUCUCUAUCAGUCAGGCUCCAGGGCCGUGGCAGUUGCAGUACUCACGCGGUAUGUGUGGGGAAGCCCAUGGCCAGGAGGGGAUCCAGGAGUGAGGGGGUGCUGCGGCCCUUGAGCUUGUUGGAGACCUUGGCAUAGAGCUGUGUCUCCCCCGCAGCCAUGUCUUCCUGCUUGCUGUACAAGAGGCGCCUGCUCACUGCAAGGACUAGAUAAAGUGAGAGAGGAGAGGGAGGCAGGCUGAGGCUGUGAAGAAAAACCUCAAGCCUUUUUUGAUCUCUCUGACACAAGUGAAUAUCCUGUUUGCACAAUGUUCGGGGCUUGAAUUCUCCUUGCCGACCCACAGCAGUGGCUUCCAAACCCACCGGCUUCCACAGUGCGGUCUGGGCCGAAGUUCAUCACUGGGAUCUGCUGUGUGCUUGGGAAGCACUUGGGAGGAGGACCUGGGAGUGUGGGGGAGGGAGGAGCAGAAGGAGGGAGCAGGAGUCUGGAACAGGCUUCUCUCAUGGGUUCUGCCGAGCACCCACCCUCGCCAUCCUGGACCUUAGCCUCCGUGUCUACAGACUGAACACUGGUAUUCACUGUAUGUACUCUCCCUGCUUGCUUAUAAAAACUUUUUUAAAAAAAAGAUUUAAUUGACCUGCUGUUGUUGUUGUUUUGAAGUGAGAACUUUAAACAUUAAGCACUACGUAUGUAGCAUGAGGGAUUUCCGUAAAGUGACUCGACUCCCUCUCUCCUCCAGAACCAAUGAAACAAUAAUGUAAAUCCCACAGCAUUUAAGUUCUACAGCCACCUUUGUAAAGGACAGUUGGCAGUGUCAGGAGACAUGUGCAGUUGUCAAAGCUCUGAGAGGGGUGGCAACUAGCGGAUGUCAACCACAGAUGCCACAGGACCCAGGACUGUCUGUACAGCAAAGGGCGGUCUUGUCCAACGUCAGUAAUACAGGUUAGGAAAACCUGCUCCAGAACUUUCCAAAUCCUUAGAAGCAUUCUCUUCUCUUCUCUUCUCUUCUCUUCUCUUCUCUUCUCUUCUCUUCUCUUCUCUUCUCUUCUCUUCUCUUCUCUCUUCUUCUCGUCUCGUCUCGUCUCGUCUCGUCUCGACUCGUCUCAUCUCUUUUCUUUCUUUUCUUUUUGUGGCGCCAGGGAUUGAAUCCAGAGCCCCAUCCAUGAUAGGCAACUGCUUUAACCCCUUAGCGUUCCCUGUCUUGAUUCUUGGCUCCAAAUGAUGUUUCUGGGAUUCACCCAUGCUCUUGCUUGCUUGCAGUUCAUUGCCAUCCUGAGUAACAUCCUACUAAACAGUGCCUGAUUCUUCCAUCUGCUUCUUUGCUGAAGUACAUGUGGGCAGAAGCGACAGUCUGCCCUCCAGCAGGAAGAGGAUGAGAGGCUUGCUAGUUUUUGUUUUUUGAUUGUUUGUUUGUUUUUUAUUUAUUUUAUUUUGUUUUAUUUUAUUUUUUUAUCGCUCUGUGGAAGCUCUGGUUGGCAUCUUCUGCAUCCUGUUUGAGAAGCAGCUGUUUAUCCAUGCCAGUGAACACGGUUUCCUUCAGUUUGUUCUAGAAGUUUGUAUGUAGUUGUCAUUCCUGUUGAGCUCUGUGGGUUAGUGUAUGGUACAUUACCGUACACUGUCACAGUUGUGUAUCACAGAUACACAAUCACCUUGGGAAUGGUUCCAGGUGAGGCUAAAGGUUGUUUAUUCUCCGUUGACUAGAUCAGCACAUGCUAGCGGAUCGUCAGUCGUGUGACGGACAGAUGUAGUUUGCCUCUGGCUCUUUCGAGUUCUCUUGCCUGAUUUGUUCAUUUUUGUGCUCCCUUUUAAACCACUAUGGUGUGAGAGUGUGCUGAUUUUGUGUCCGUGAGGUUGUUCUCCGUUCUUAGCUCUUUUAUGUAAAAUCAAAGAGCGGGCCGCAUAUGUACCUCAGAGGGUGCAGGUGACUCACAUAUAUGUCAGUCAACUGUCAAUAAUCGGGCGCUCUAACUCCCCAGGAAGGGCUGCUGCUUCAGUAACAAUACUGGGGAAAUUGCACGGCACGUGUGGAGCUAAUUCAAAAUGGAUGACAGGCUUGAAUGUAAAGUCUGAUGCUAUCAAACCCGUCAAAGAAAACCUAGAAGAAAAAUACGCGCUGUGUUUUCACUUAUAAAACUUUCUUGGGGCAUAAUAGGAGAAACCCACGAUCUUUUAUUCUUCCACAUCAGGCUUCGUCAAAGUCGUAAAACAUCUGCUCUUUGAAAAGUAUUGUAAAGGAAACGAAAGGAAAAAGAAGCCACAGCGUAGGAGAAAAUGUCCCCCGCCUACAUACUCGGUCUGACACCCAGAAUGUACAGUGUGUGCAUGCAUUCUUACAGCUAAUGAAAGAACCAGAAAGCAUGGAGAAGAGACAGGCGCAGUGAUGAAAGAUGCCGAGUCUCAUCCAUCACUGAGGGAUGUUGAAGAAGACCACAGCACAGUUCCAUAGCACCUGCUGGACUUGGAGCUCAAGUCAAAAGGACCAAUAAGGUCAGGCUUCAACAAGGCCAGGGACCUCUUGAAAUACCCGUGCUUUUAGUGGGAUUGUAACUCAUCCAAUUACUUUGGGAAAUUCCCUGACGCAAUGUCUUAUAAAGGUCAACAUACAUUUACGACCCAACCAAUUCUGAUUUUUAGAUUCUACCAGGGAAAAGUGAAAAUGUGUGCCUCC
rnacentral:lncRNA from 1 species